rnacentral:lncRNA from 1 species
AGCAAAAUCGUCAUAUAAAGUUAUACCCCAUUUUAACACGGGUCAAAUUAGAGUAUAACAUCAUUUUUAAAGAAAACGGAUUUCAAAUUCUUGCAUCUGAGGUCUAUCUUAUAUGAUUAAAAUAGUAGUAAAUCGAUUAUAAGAAACAAAGAUAACUAAAUACAAUCAUCCUAAUAUGAAUUUAAAAUAUAAUCUCAAAAUAAAAAUGAAGUCUAAUCACACUAAGUGAAGUUAAAUAGCAAGAAUGGUAAUGAAAAUAAAAGAAAGAAGCCAUAUGCGUCCCCAAGCGUUUCGCUUGUUUUCUUGCUAUCCGGUGAAUUUAUUGGAAUAUUAGAUAUGACUCCGUGCUCGAGGUGUGUUGGCGAGUCUUGCAUUAAGACUCCAUAUGUUUCUCCAAGUGCAUAUGCAAAAAGAAAAGAGGAAAAAGAUUAGAGAGGAUAAAAAUCCUAAACAAAUAUUAAAAUGAAGGAGAAAACAGUGGCAUCAAUCAAGUGAUUAACUUGUACUAAAUCAUAAGCUCACAAAGGGAUAAGGAAUUUAUUACUUCGAGCAACAUUAUACUAAUAAAUUUGGAGAAUUUCUUAUUAUUAAUAUAUCUCCUACAUACACCAUCAAAUGGACUUUCUGUGUUUAUUGAAAUCUAAAGGUUGAAAUCAUUAAGUUGUCCUACAGUCGUUCCUUCUUGAUCAGUGAAAUAUGGAACUUAGUUAACUCCUUUAAAGUGAACUAAACAUAUGCUAUCUAAUCCUUCCCAGAACAUAUAUUUCAUGAAGAGAAUACUGGAAGUAAACCUGUAGGCAUAAUUACUAGGCGUGAAAGGUCUCAUAUAUGGUAAGUUUAAUUCUAUAGAUCAGUCUCCACAGUUUUGGCACAGAUCUCAAAGAUUUGGAUUAGUAAGAAUGUUAACAACAUGCUUCUUCCGUCUUAUGCAUAAAAAUUAAAGUGAGUGAACAGUGAUAAAUUCUAAUAUACUCCAAUGAUCAGUGAAUCGUAUUUUAUUACAUAGUCCACAAAAUCAGAUCCUUAACAUGGCACCUCUUACUCCUAAUUAGCUUUAAAAAUAAUAGCAUUUUGUGAACGUGCUUUCUGGAGUGGAGAAUAGCAGGUAGCAGACACUAGACACCGGGAGAAAGGUUACACGGUUUAACAAUUUUUCUUCUUCUAUGAAUAGGAAAGUCUUAAGUAUACUCUGCUAAAUCGAAUUUCUUUUAUUUUAUUAGAGUCCUAAUGUUUAGAUUUUACUAUUCCUAAAGUCUUGACAGAAAAAACGGGAGAACGGUCUUGUUACACGGUUUAACAAUUUUUCUUCUAUGAAUAGGAAAGUCUUAAGUAUACUCUGCUAAAUCGAAUUUCUUUUAUUUUAUUAGAGUCCUAAUGUUUAGAUUUUACUAUUCCUAAAGUCUUGACAGAAAGAGUUCAAAGAAAUCACAGCAAUUUCCAAGUUGUUCCAUUGCUUAAAGGCAAGGUAGCACACUUGACAUGGUGAAUACCUAUAGUCAUCGUAACCAAGUGUUGAAAGAAUGUCUCUUUACUAAAUAAGAGGAUCCUCUAAUCUAGACACAUAGUAGCUAAUUACUCUUUCAGUCAUUAUGCUUCCUGCAACAUUGGAACUAGGAAAUAAUAACUUAUAAUCAUGUCAUGAAUACAUGAACAAAGGUAAUCAAAGCAAAGACCUAAUAUCAGUAAACUAAUUUAUUCACAUAGGCAAGCAAUUGACUUCUUAUUUUCUUCAAGAUUUAUGCAAACAUACCACAUAACUUCACAGCUUUUAUGCAUAUAAAACCUCUUAAUAAUGACUUCUAUGGUAAUAAACUGACUCGUGUUUCGAACAAAUAAACGAUCAUUUCAGAUUUUCAAAAAAA